rnacentral:rRNA from 1 species
CUACAUUAGAUACCCGUGUAGUCCCAGCCGUAAACUAUGCUCGCUAGGUGUCAGGCAUGGCGCGACCGUGUCUGGUGCCGCAGGGAAGCCGUGAAGCGAGCCACCUGGGAAGUACGGCCGCAAGGCUGAAACUUAAAGGAAUUGGCGGGGGAGCACCGCAACGGGAGGAGCGUGCGGUUUAAUUGGAUUCAACGCCGAAAAACUCACCAGCAGCGACUGUUACAUGAAAGUCAGGUUGAUGACCUUACUAGAUUUUCAG